UUCCCAGACUAUGCAGAGCUGAUUGUCAAGUUUCUGGAUGCACUGAUUGACACCUAUCUGCCGGGCAUCGAUGAGGCAAUGAGCGAGGAGGGUCUGCACACACCCACCUCUCCAUACCCUCCACCUGUCCAGAGUCAGCUCAGCAUCACUGCUAACCUCAACCUCUCCAUUUCAAUGACCUCACUGGCCACCUCCCAGCAUACACCAGUGGGAUCAGUGGAAAGAGGAUGCUGCUGUCGUUUAGGCCGCUGAUCUCCGUCUCUGUGCUAACUCUGCUGGGCUGGUGCUGGUACAGCUUUAGUAGGAGGAGGACAACGAUGAAUCCAACACAAGUGAACAUGUGUUGUUCGGCCAGAAGCAGCCCUCUUUACUCCUCCCCUGCUGACUCCAGUAUUUUGGGCGAAAGUGAUCUGAGCAUGGACCACAGCAACUCAGGAUCCUCUGAAAUCAAAAACCUUACCAGCACCUCUUCCAAAACAGGCCUCACCAAGGGAGUUCGACCCGAGCCAGAAGGAGAAGUAUCCGUUCGCUUCCCUGAGACUCUCCAAACUGAGCAGGAAAAGGACAACGUUGCUGGUGAAGGUCAUCCAGACUGUGGAGAAGUUAGUGAAGAUGACUCUAGACUUGAGUCUGAUCUGGUUUGUCUCUCUUCAAACCACCUUGCCACCGACUCUCACACUUUAACAGAGCAACAGUCAGGUGCUGUCCGCUUGGACAGUCAUAAUGGCAGCAGCCUGACCACUGAUGGAGGCCUGAACCAGGAGAACCUGGAGAAGAUCAGUUCUGUUCAGCAGACAACAAGUCAUAGAUGCAGCAGCAGAGGACUGGAAAAACCAGGAACCCAGUGAUCCACAUGAGCCUGGAUUUCAGUUUGCUGCUCGAGAAUCAUUCAGCUGCGAUGACAACAGAAGAGUAUGCCUUCAGGAAGCCAGCUCUUUCAGGGAAAAACUACUCAGCCAUUUAAGAACUUCUGGUGAUGAUUCUGGAUGUGGUUCCUGCUUCUCAGAAGAUGCAUCCGAUGCAGAAGGGCUGACCAGAGAGUUGUCUGAGGAAGGUCAAGGGUUUGUUAUGAUCCCCACAGAAGCAAACACAGUCAGCAUUGAGAGCAAAAUGACUCCCUGUAUGCUCGAGGUGACAGAAGGAGAGGAGGAGGCCUUGAGAGGUUCAGAUGUUAAAAGCUGCAUUAGUGCUGACACUCAGGUCAGACUUUGUAACGUUGCCAUUCCAGGCAGCAGAGGUUCUGCUGGACAACAUCACUCCUUUGCCAUGAGAGGAGGAGUUUUCCCUGGAGGCCAAAGCAUCGCUGGAGGAAUUAACUGCAAAUAUGACCUUUAUCAUCAAGGUGACAGGCAGUCAAGACGGCCUUCCUCUGGUGCACAUGUGGAAACAGGCAGGAGA
ensembl:lncRNA